UCUCUCCCAAGUCCCAAACCUUGAAACCCUGCAAAUUUUUUCUUUAAAUUGGUUUCAAUGGUUACUCAAUUCUUCAAUUCAUUCUCAUCCAUCACCCAAUCUUUCUCCUCUCUAUGUUUAUGUUAUUCUACGGUGAUCGUACGAAUUUUUCAGCUUUCCAUCGAUGUAGGUUGAGGUACAAAUCAAAAUAGGUGCAAUUGGAAGUUGCAGUUGCAAGUCAAUCUCGAUCAGAAGAGAAAGAACAAGAAGGAAAAAAGCAAAUUCCAGAUUUUCAGGUGCAAUUAGAAGUUGGAUUUGCAAGUCAGUCUCGAUCAGAAAAGAAAAAACAAGAAGGAAAAAAGCUGAUUCCAGAUUUCCAGGUUUUAUUGUUCUAUGCUAAAGUGUUUAUCAUUCAAAGUUUAGUGUCUUGGCUUGCUUGUUUGAGUUUUUUCUUGCUAGUUUCAAUAAUGUUUCCUAGGAA